AGUCCCUGCUUCCGGCUUCCGACGCGCAACAGCUGGAGGGCGACGCUGGCUCCGCGGCGACUCCUGGGGCUGCGGCCGCGGUGGUAGCGCGAAUGGGAGGUGGAGCGGAGCUACUGCGCCGAGGGACGCUUCAGAAACUCUGUUUCAGUCCUUCGCGGAUCCUAGGAUGUGACAGGUGUUCGAGUUAAAAGGUCUUAAGGCGAUCGGUUGAUCCAAAAGCAGCUGAAUCUUUAGGAGGCCCAGGCAGGAGGAUCGCUUGAGUCCAGGAGUUCGAGACCAGCCUGGGCCACAGAGCAAGGUCACCAUCUCUACAAAAGAAAUUUUACAAAUCAGCCGGACAUGAUGGCGGGCACCUGUGGUCCCAACUACCAGGGAGGCUGAGGUGGGAGGAUCGCUUGAUAGCCCAGGAAGUUGACGGUGCAGAGAUCCCUCCACUGAACUCCAGGCCGGGUGACAGCAGAGCGAGAUCCUGUCUCAAAAAAAACAUAACCGACAUCCAGAAGUGAAAUAAAUUAGCCAGUGUCACAAAGUA
rnacentral:lncRNA from 1 species